AAUGAAGGAGCUGCGCCAUGCUGAGGUUCAAGACUUGCUGCUGUCAGCCAGGAGGAACCUGCAGCAUGUGGACAGAACCUUGAAGCUCCCCCUGGAAAGUGCUGCUCACUUACAGGGUGAGGGAAAUGCAGGAGCACACAUUUCUGACUGCACCUUAGCUCUGCGAAUGCUUUAAAACAAAUCUCUCCCCCAAAAAUCACAUCCAGAUGUAGCCUUAAAAAUGUAAAUUAGCAAAACAUGGAGCUGUAAUAUCAGCAGGAGUCAGUGGCUGAAGUAAAGAACAAAGUGGCAACUGCGGAUACAAAAAUAAGGUCCCUCUCUUCCUGACUUAGGAAUUAUUAACUCUAAUUCUGUUUAAUACACCCUCAGGUGGCUUUAGAAGGCUACUUUGGCAGAAGACUCCACCUCUGAGCACUGGGAACUGCCGAGAUCCAGCGCUGCACUGCAGGGUUCCAGGCUAACGAGCAGAGCACAUCAAUGUUGCUCCUGGCCUUAGUCACAGAAAUGCAGCAAUGACCAUGGCUCUAAACACUGAUUGCAAGGAUCCAGGUUGUGAAGUGGUAAAAGACCCUGUGUGAAGGACACCAUGGUGUGAAGGCACAGCCAGGCCAGAUGACAAAAGAGCAACCAGCUCUGAUGACUCUGCAUCACGGCAGCAGGAGGGAUUUUGCCAGUCUGGUCCAGAACCACUUUUUCGUGCACGGGUUGGUGUAAUCACAGAUUGUAAUGAACCGCAGGAUACUUGGAAACUCGUUCUUCAUGGUUUUGCACUUGACUGGAAUCAGCCGCUUGAGACGAGCACCUGAAAGACAAGGCAGAGGAUUGCACAGAGCCACAGUUGGAUCAGCUACACACUUCCUCCCCACAGCAGCACACACUACAAAAGAUCCAGGUUUGUUCCUGACUUUGUGUCUUCCUGUUAAAAUGCAACUAGCUCCUACCCUGGAGAUCAAGUUUCUGAAGUCCAAGCCAUCUGCUAAGAAUAUUUUGCUCAGAUCCAGAGCAGGGCCCUGUCCUGCACACACAGGGCAGCUUGUGCUGGUCCCAGCUGGGAGUGCUAAGGCCUAAGGAACUGCAGUUGUGAAAGAAGAGAGCAGAGUUUCUUGUGGAACACAAAUCAACAUAUACAGGUGCCUUGAGAUGCCCUCCAGCAGGAGCUGCUCCAUCAUUUUUCCAGGGAUGGAGGUGAUGCUGACUGGUCUACAGUUUCCUGGAACCUCUUUCUUGCCCUUUUUGAAGACUGCAGUGCCACUGGCUCUGCUCCAGUCCUUAGGCACCUCUUCUGUCUGCCACAAUUUGGCAAAGAUGAUGGAGAGUGGUAGAGCAAUAAUAUCAGCCAGUUCUCUCAGCACCCUUGGGUGCAUCUCAUCAGGGCCCAUGGAUUUGUUAAUGUUUAAUUUGUGUAACAGAUCCCUAACCCAGUCUGCACUGACCAGUGGGGAGCAUUCCCUCCUCCAGGCUUCCUCUCCUUCAUCCAGGGUCUGGAGUACAUAGGAGAGUUCAGAUUUGAGACAAUUCCUCAUUCUGCCCUUGUGCAGUGCCAAAUGGGACAGCACUGAUCUCAGAUGGGAGAUGUUAGAAACAAAAAUUAUAACACCAAUACAGAAUUUUAGAUGGGGUCUCUGUGGUCUUACCUGGGGAAAGACUAAGAGCAAAUUUAGUCUGAAAAUCACAUUCAUCACUUUCCAGGUAAUCAUCUGAAAUGACAACCACCAUCCUCCGACACCUGAAGGCAAAGCAGUCAGGGAGAAAAAAAAUUAAAUGUCAGCAGAGACACUUCUUGUCCUCACUGGCCAAAGUGUCUGAACUGCUCCAGAGGGGAAAUGAACCUGCCAGCUGUGUGCCAGCAGGAAUCACCUACAGAGCAAGCACUGCUGGCAGACAGAGAGCUACAGUACACACAGAAACCUGCCUACAGACACACACACACUCCUAUACUCAAAAAAGAGGAAACGGCCCACACUGCUUGUGCAUCUGAUCCUCUGCCUAGCUAUUACAAUGACCACUUAAUUAGCUGCUUACAUGCUGCCUUUAUUGACUGAGUAUGACCAGUAGGUUUUAACAUUAGAAUAAACUGGACAGAGCUUUGCUGUACUGUGAAAUCACCUGGUUUCAGAAAGUUGAGCUUUAUUCUCCAAUUUGUUGUAGUAAACUACAUACUGGGCUCUUUAGGCUGUAUGACAGCCAGGGUGUCUGUUAACGUCAAGCUACCUUCUUCCCAAAAUGCCUGCCCUGGGAUUUUUCAUUCCCUAUCUAGGCAGGUGCUUUUAUGUCCCACAGCUCCUACCAUGCCUGGGCCCCAUAUAGGUCUGAAGGAUCCCUGAAGUCAGUGCCAGAGCUGGCACCUGUGCUGUCCCUUCCAACUCUAGGCUGUGGGGUGGAGCUAACUUAAUCUGGGUCUGUAUUCAUUUCCAGAUAAGACUGCAAGACAUUCCAGCCAAAGCAAAAGGAUCAGAUAUUAGCAGCAUCACUACAGUGGCAUCUUCCUUGUGAACACAACACUGCAACAUGUUUGGGAGCACUCGAGUCUUCCUUCUUGAACAUAAAACAAAGCCCAUAAAGACAUCUUUGUGGAUUUUUACUGCUUGGCUGGCAGCACACUGCAGAAACCGUGCUAAAAUGGACUCAAUGCUCCAUCACACCCAGCUGUCCCAGACAGACACGGGUCACUUACCUCCUUUCUAUAAGUUCUCCACUGAU